GCUGACUUUGUCACCCCGAACAUGCCCAAUUUUGGCAGCUAAGUAGGGACUGUCCUGGUUUGUACGUAGAUGGGAGACUGCUUGGGGAUAUCAGGUGCUAUUGGCU
rnacentral:rRNA from 1 species